ACCAGUGUGACCCUGGGACAGUCACUUCCUUUCUUUGGACUCGGUUUUCUCUGCUGUAGGAGAGGUCAUCUGGUCCAAUGCCUUAUUUUAGGGAGAAGUAAACACCUCUAGGCCUCAGUUUCCUCAUCUGUAAAAUGAGGACAUUAGAUCAAAUGGCUCUAGUUCCAAGGUAGAGUGUGAACAGUGUAAAGGAGAAAUCUGAACUGCACUAAGAAAAUAUGAAGCAAGCUUACAAGUGAUCAGCUAGGUUCAUAAACAUCAACCUUAGAAGAAGCAGUCAAUGACAGCAUCCCUGGCCUCAAUGAUGAGUCCCUGGCAGGCCCGGUAAACUUUCACCUCGGGAGGGAUCAGGAAAAGCUCCGUGGAGAAGGCAGUUCCUGAGCAGGGCCUUGAAGAAAGAGAAGGAUUUCAACAGGAGGAGAGAGGAAGGAGGACAUUCUAUCAACCAUUUACACAGCACUUUGAAGUCUGUAAAGCCUUUUAUAAGAAUUAUCUCAGAUUUCCAAUAAAGAAGGUGACUGAAGUCACCAGGGCCUGCAAGCUUGGUUCUCCAGGCUCCACACCCAUGAGCUCCUCAGUCUUCUUCAGGGAAGCGCCAAGGUCAGGGCGGCCACUCCCUUUUGCUUCCCGAAAGAGGAAAGCCCAAGUUGAGAUUUCCUGGAGAAAACCCUCCAGUCACAUCUCUUCUGGACCUGAGAAACAACCUGUUUGACCCACCCCAGCAGUGGAAUCCAACCAGCAGCCAAGGCACCAUGUCAUACCAACAAGGAGAUGACUUGUACAUGGGCUCUGCCAUCCCCAAAAGCCAACUGGGAGGCAUGAAUGUGGAGGGAGAUUGUUGGUAGUCACCACUUUAAGCUGGAGUCUAUCUCCCUUGGGACUAAGAAGGUAGAAGGCAGGCUUUCAGUUUUGUACUUUAGUUCUCGGUAGAUUUUCUCAGUAAACACCCCUUUGUAAAAACUAAUU